UACCAGCACCCCGAGUGGUCUGGACGUUUAUUGGGCCUAAAGCGUCCGUAGCCGGUUCUACAAGUCUUCCGUUAAAUCCAACUGCUUAACAGAUGGGCUGCGGAAGAUACUAUGGAGCUAGGAGGCGGGAGAGGCAAGCGGUACUCGAUGGGUAGGGGUAAAAUCCGUUGAUCCAUUGAAGACCACCAGUGGCGAAGGCGGCUUGCCAGAACGCGCUCGACGGUGAGGGAUGAAAGCUGGGGGAGCAAACCGG
rnacentral:rRNA from 1 species